rnacentral:rRNA from 1 species
UACGAAGGGUGCAAACGUUGCUCGGAAUUAUUGGGCGUAAAGCGCACGUAGGCGGCUUAGCAAGUCGGAAGUGAAAGCCCUUGGCUCAACCAAGGAAGUGCUUUCGAAACUGCUGAGCUUGAGUAGUUAAGAGGAUCGCGGAAUUCCCGGUGUAGAGGUGCAAUUCGUAGAUAUCGGGAGGAACACCAGUGGCGAAGGCGGCGAUCUGGGCCCAUACUGACGCUGAGGUGCGAAAGCGUGGGGAGCAACCAGG